GGGGACAGGCAGGGACAAGGGACGGGAAGGGGCAGGGGUCUGGCAGAGUCUCCUCACCGGGCUCUGCGCCCCCCACGCACCGGCCCCUCGCCCCGGGAUCCGCAACCUGAUCCCCCCUCAUCCCUCACCCCGACAGCCCCCGGAGCAUCCUCCGGGACCCCCCCAGUCCCUCGCUCCUGGCCCUGCACCGGCCCAGACCCCCCCUCCCGCGACCCCCGCCAUGCCCGGUGGUAGGACAGGGUGGCGGUGCCCGGGGGGGUGCGGGGACAGGUGAGACCCCACAGAGGGGACACGGAGGACACCGACGGAGCCACAGGUCUGCGCAGACCCCGCGCUGGCAGAUGCCGCUGGGCGGCUGGGCCGAGGAGGAGGAGGAGGAGGAAGAGCAGUCCGCGGUCUAACGAGCCUCCCCUCAGGGUUCUGAAUGUGCUGGGAGCUGCCGGGGCCGGUGCUGGUUCCGGAGGAGCUGCCAAGAGGUGCUGACCGGACUCGGGCACAGCGCGGAGGGCUCUCUGCUGCCCGGGGGGGCCGGGUGGUCGGGAUGAUUGUGCCUCUGCAGACCCCCAACCCGGGGCCUCGCUGGUGGGGCAGACCCCCUCCGUGUGCUAUAUUGAGGUGGGGUCCCGGGGGAUCCCAUCCGGGGGCUGGUGCUGCCCCCCUGCCGAUCCAGGCAAUAAAGG